UGCUGUUAAUCUGAAGAACAAUGGCAGAUACAAACCCAGGGUGUGCCUACAUCAUAAAUUCAGACAGCGCAGAGAGUUUCUUCAGAAGUGGACUUAUCAAAGCAACAGUGUUGUUAAUUUGAAGAACAAUGGCAGAUACAAACCCAGAUAAAAUCCCUCAGUGCGAAAAGAGCAAACCAUGCCACGGUGAAGGCAAGGGUGAAGGCAAGGGUGAAGGCAAGGGAAAAGGACCAGGACAAGGGCAAGGUCAAGGCAAGGGUCAGGGUCAUGGUCACGGACACGGUCACGGACCUGGAAAGGAUGGAAAGGAUGGCAAAGGCAAACCAUAAUGAAAGGAGCUGAAUGAAGAGACGUCUGAAGUCUGUCUGAUGCUGUUGUUUUUUUUCUUGCACCAUGACUAAUAAACUAAAACAUGUAUAAUUAUACCACAUAUGUUUGUUUUUAAUUAAAUGAUCAUCAAUAAAGUGUUUGGUAUCAAAGAAUGGCUUUUAGAAUCGUU
ensembl:lncRNA